AGUUUAGACAGAGAGCUCAUUCAUCCAUGGUGACGCUGUUGGGUGUGAUUUGCCAGUCACUGAGAUGCCCUUGUUUUUUUUUUUUUUCUUGCAGAACCAUCUGCAGUUGGUGAAAAAUAACCCACUACAGCUAGUGAACAUUUCCCACCUUUUAUCCUCUGGCUUCAUAGGGCUGUGACAGACGGUGCCCCAGCAGGUACUAUGCAGCUCAACUGCCAAAGGUGUUGCUGUUCAGAAGUCCUAGAGACGGUGAUCUGCCCCAGCAAACAGACUUCUGCAGAACAAGCUGCUGUACCUAGGAACCAACCAACUCUUCUCAAGUAGGUGUGUCUAACUAAAAUAAAACCACCGAGGAAACUGCCUUGAUACUAAACUUCCCUAAACCAGGUCUCAGCAGAAGAAAAAAGCAUCCCUCCUACCUCAUUUCUCCUUUCGGAGGCUAGCAGGAAAUUAAAAAAGGAAAGGAGUUCCAUGCAGUAUUUCUGACAGCAAAUUUCUCAGAAUCCAGAGAUACUUCUUUUCUCUGUAAUAAGUAGCUGCAGAUACAAAGGAGCACUUAUGAUCGAUGACUAUCUCUGUUUGCAGGAGCGAUAAUUCCUGAACACACAGUUCUCGAUUAAAAUACAAAUGCAUUUUCAACUGCGUAUUUAUUUAUCUAUGUUUUAGUCUUACUUGACAAAAUGUGAAAAGAAUCCAGUAAAGUUGGGCUCUAGUAUACUGCAGAAGUGAAACUGAAGUAAGGAGAUUUUUAAAUGGGGAGGGAACAUCCAUUUCUAUCUCUCGGUCCCUGAGUUCUCAUGUAGGAGUAGGUGAGAAACUAAGGCUUGCAGAAAUGAAAUAACCUGGUCAGAGCACCAGUACAUGACUGAUGUAUGAAUCAAAGUUUGUUUGACCCUGCAAGAUACAGUCACCUAUUGCAAGAGUCCACCUCCCAAAUCUAUCAACUCUUGGCUUACUUACUGUGUUCAAAUACAGAACGUUACGGAUAUUCAAAACCAACUGAGAUUUCCAAAACAAUAAAAACAAGAGACAAAUGUGAAAUUCUUUCCAUUGAGCCAGCAUUUCUAAAAUUUCAGAUUAAGAAAUGGCUUCAUGAGUAGGGACAACCAAGACAACAACUUAUAUAUAAUUUAGGGCUUUUGGACUCUGGAGUAACAGCACUUAGGUUGUGGAAUGCUUCUAAAUGUCUUCUGAUAUUUUAUAAGGAUGUUCAGCUUAUUUGCCAAUAGGUGCAUCUAUUUGCAUACUCACUUUCACAUAUGGAACAUUCUUUCCUGUUUCAAAAUAAUAGAGAAAAAAAUAAAGAUAUGAACUAUCUUUCUAUUUAUGUUUUAAUUCUGAAAGAUAACUAUUUGUUUAACUAAUAAGUUCUGCCCUGAUUAGAGGACAUUAAUGAUCAUUAAUUAUUAAAAAUGUGUUUGUAUUUUCAAUGUUUGCAUUUCACACCUCUCAUCAAGAAGCUAAGCUCAACUAACCCUGUCUUUUGUUAAGGCUUGCAAUCAGAUUUUUACUUCCUUAAUAAAUAUUUCAUUAUACUUUGCUGAAAA